rnacentral:rRNA from 1 species
GAUACCCAGGUAGUCCACGCCGUAAACGAUGAGUGCUAAGUGUUAGAGGGUUUCCGCCCUUUAGUGCUGCAGCAAACGCAUUAAGCACUCCGCCUGGGGAGUACGGUCGCAAGACUGAAACUCAAAGGAAUUGACGGGGGCCCGCACAAGCGGUGGAGCAUGUGGUUUAAUUCGAAGCAACGCGAAGAACCUUACCAGGUCUUGACAUCCUUCGCUACUUCUAGAGAUAGAAGGUUCCCCUUCGGGGGACGGAGUGACAGGUGGUGCAUGGUUGUCGUCAGCUCGUGUCGUGAGAUGUUGGGUUAAGUCCCGCAACGAGCGCAACCCUUGACCUUAGUUGCCAGCAUUCAGUUGGGCACUCUAAGGUGACUGCCGGUGACAAACCGGAGGAAGGUGGGGAUGACGUCAAAUCAUCAUGCCCCUUAUGACCUGGGCUACACACGUGCUACAAUGGAUGGUACAAAGGGCUGCAAGACUGCGAAGUCAAGCCAAUCCCAUAAAACCAUUCUCAGUUCGGAUUGCAGGCUG